AUUGAACGCUGGCGGCAUGCUUUACACAUGCAAGUCGAACGGUAACAGGCCGCAAGGUGCUGACGAGUGGCGAACGGGGGCGUAAUGCAUCGGAACGUGCCCAGUCGUGGGGGAUAACUACUCGAAAGAGGAGCUAAUACCGCAUACGAUCUAAGGAUGAAAGCGGGGGACCGUAAGGCCUCGCGCGAUUGGAGCGGCCGAUGUCAGAUUAGGUAGUUGGUGGGGUAAAGGCUCACCAAGCCAACGAUCUGUAGCUGGUCUGAGAGGACGACCAGCCACACUGGGACUGAGACACGGCCCAGACUCCUACGGGAGGCAGCAGUGGGGAAUUUUGGACAAUGGGCGCAAGCCUGAUCCAGCAAUGCCGCGUGCAGGAAGAAGGCCUUCGGGUUGUAAACUGCUUUUGUACGGAACGAAACGGCUCUGGUUAAUACCCGGGGCUAAUGACGGUACCGUAAGAAUAAGCACCGGCUAACUACGUG
rnacentral:rRNA from 1 species